rnacentral:ncRNA from 1 species
GUUCCCGUUGAUCCUGCGGGAGAUUGCUGCUAUAGGAGUUCGAUUAAGCCAUGCAAGUCAGAGGGUUCUUCGGAACACAGGCUGAAUGCUCAGUAACACGUCAAUAAUCUGCCCUUAAGUUUGGGAUACCCUUGGGAAACUGAGAUUAAAACCGAAUAGGCACUUGAUACUGGAAUGUUCUUGUGCUAAAAAGUAAUGCUUAAGGAUGAGUUGGCGGCUGAUUAGGCUGUUGGUGGUGUAACGGACUACCAAACCUACGAUCAGUACGGGCCGUGAGAGCGGUAGCCCGGAGAAGGGUACUGAGACACUGACCCUAGCCCUACGGGGUGCAGCAGGCGCGAAACC